rnacentral:rRNA from 1 species
GUGGGGAAUAUUGGGCAAUGGGCGAAAGCCUGACCCAGCAACGCCGCGUGAGGGAAGAAGGUUUUCGGAUCGUAAACCUCUGUCCUUAGUGAAGAGAAAGAGACGGUAGCUAAGGAGGAAGCCCCGGCUAACUACGUGCCAGCAGCCGCGGUAAUACGUAGGGGGCGAGCGUUGUCCGGAAUGAUUGGGCGUAAAGGGCGCGUAGGCGGCCUGUUAAGUCCGGAGUGAAAUUCCUGCUUUCAAGGUAGGAAGUGCUUUGGAAACUGGCGGGCUGGAGUGCAGGAGAGGUUAGCGGAAUUCCCGGUGUAGCGGUGAAAUGCGUAGAGAUCGGGAGGAACACCAGUGGCGAAGGCGGCUAACUGGACUGUAACUGACGCUGAGGCGCGAAAGUGUGGGGAGCAAACAGGAUUAGAUACCCGAGUAGUCC